rnacentral:snRNA from 1 species
UAAUUUACCUGGCUAUACAUUGA